UCGAUUUGGAGUUUGUUGCCCUGAGUGAUGGGCUCCGAAGCUAACGCGAUAAAUCGACCGCCUGGGGAGUACGGCCGCAAGGUUAAAACUCAAAUGAAUUGACGGGGGCCCGCACAAGCGGUGGAGCAUGUGGUUUAAUUCGAUGCAACGCGAAGAACCUUACCUGGUCUUGACAUCCACAGAAUCUUGCAGAGAUGCGAGAGUGCCUUCGGGAACUGUGAGACAGGUGCUGCAUGGCUGUCGUCAGCUCGUGUUGUGAAAUGUUGGGUUAAGUCCCGCAACGAGCGCAACCCUUAUCCUUUGUUGCCAUUGGUUCGGCCGGGAACUCAAAGGAGACUGCCGUUGAUAAAGCGGAGGAAGGUGGGGACGACGUCAAGUCAUCAUGGCCCUUACGACCAGGGCUACACACGUGCUACAAUGGCGUAUACAAAGGGAGGCGACCUCGCGAGAGCAAGCGGACCUCAUAAAGUACGUCUAAGUCCGGAUUGGAGUCUGCAACUCGACUCCAUGAAGUCGGAAUCGCUGGUAAUCGUGAAUCAGAAUGUCACGGUGAAUACGCUCCCGGGCCU
rnacentral:rRNA from 1 species